CGUAGGGGGCAAGCGUUGUCCGGAUUUACUGGGCGUAAAGAGCGUGUAGGCGGCCACACAGGUCCGUUGUGAAAACUGGAGGCUUAACCUCCAGACGUCGACGGAAACCGUAUGGCUAGAGUCCGGAAGAGGAGAGUGGAAUUCCUGGUGUAGCGGUGAAAUGCGCAGAUAUCAGGAAGAACACCAAUGGCGAAGGCGGCUCUCUGGGACGGUACUGACGCUGAGACGCGAAAGCGCGGGGAGCGAACAGGAUUAGAUACCCUGGUAGUCCACGCCGUAAACGAUGGGUGCUAGGUGUGGGAGGUGUCGACUCCUUCCGUGCCGUAGCUAACGCAUUAAGCACCCCGCCUGGGGAGUACGGCCGCAAGGCUA
rnacentral:rRNA from 1 species